rnacentral:ncRNA from 1 species
GGAAGCCUACGGUCUCCCGGUUGCCGGAAGGUCGGCAAGUUCCGUGAAAAUCGGACGCUGUCGCGCAACCGUGUGCGGGGAGAACUGACCCCGCGAGCCGGAAAACGACCUCCGGGAACCUGUGUAGUGG